rnacentral:rRNA from 1 species
UACAGAGGGUGCAAGCGUUGUUCGGAAUUAUUGGGCGUAAAGCGCGUGUAGGCGGCUUUGCAAGUCGGGUGUGAAAGCCCUCAGCUCAACUGAGGAAGUGCGCCCGAAACUGCAGAGCUUGAGUGCCGGAGAGGGUGGCGGAAUUCCCCAAGUAGAGGUGAAAUUCGUAGAUAUCUGGAGGAAUACCGGUGGCGAAGGCGGCAUCCUGGACCGGCAUUGACGCUGAGGAGCGAAAGCCAGGGGAGCAAACGGG